AUCGCUUCUCGGCACUAUGUGCUAAGAUCAAAAGUGUAGUAUCUGUUCUUAUCAGCUUAAUAUCUGAUACAACCCCCAUAGGGGGUUCCAGAUUUAUUAAGUGAUUUUUGGUAUAAGGCAGGUAUGCAGAGCUUGCUCCGCUCCUGCCACUGGUCGUCCUGGCACUGCACUACAGCUAGGCGCGGCCUCACUGAA